rnacentral:lncRNA from 1 species
AAAUAAAAUUCUUUUAUCUUCAUGCGUGCCAAGCCCCCAGACAUUGUUCGGACUCCUACGGGGGGAAAGACGUCAUAAAAUGAGAAUUUGUUUCAUUGUGGGUCGCUCUGCCAACACCGGGCUUUAAAGGAACGCCAAACAAAGCGGGCGCCAGGAGGGGGCUUCCCAGGGAUACUCUCUGGAAUCUUACCAUCCACAAGGCUACCUACAGGGACCUAAACAUCCUGUGUCCACAGAGCCUCCCAUGAAGAGCAAAGAGCCAGUUCAGCAGAUGGAUAGAGAAAACACUCCCCAAGGGUCACUGGACAGCAGUGCUACCACAAGGGAGACAGGGGGCCUGGGUCCCCUCCCUACCCCUGAGUAGAAACACUUCACUCAUAAUCCAGAUUCAGCUGUGAGCCCCUUGUUCUUUAUUUCCUCCUACCUCAAGCUCCAGAGGGAGAAAU